rnacentral:rRNA from 1 species
UACGUAGGGUGCGAGCAUUAAUCGGAAUUACUGGGCGUAAAGCGUGCGCAGGCGGUUUUGUAAGACAGGUGUGAAAUCCCCGGGCUUAACCUGGGAACUGCACUUGUGACUGCAAGGCUGGAGUACGGCAGAGGGGGAUGGAAUUCCGCGUGUAGCAGUGAAAUGCGUAGAUAUGCGGAGGAACACCGAUGGCGAAGGCAGUCCCCUGGGCCUGUACUGACGCUCAUGCACGAAAGCGUGGGGAGCAAACAGG